rnacentral:rRNA from 1 species
GUGCCAGCCGCCGCGGUAAUACAGAGGGUGCGAGCGUUAAUCGGAAUUACUGGGCGUAAAGCGCACGUAGUCGGCUUGUCAAGUCGGGUGUGAAAUCCCCGGGCUCAACCUGGGAACUGCAUCCGAGACUGACUUGCUAGAGUAUGGGAGAGGGAAGCGGAAUUUCUGGUGUAGCAGUGAAAUGCGUAGAUAUCAGAAGGAACAUCAGUGGCGAAGGCGGCUUCCUGGACCAAUACUGACGAUCAGGUGCGAAAGCGUGGGGAGCAAACAGGAUUAGAUACCCCCGUAGUCC